rnacentral:rRNA from 1 species
GACGAACGCUGGCGGCGUGCUUAACACAUGCAAGUCGAACGGAAAGGCCCUGCUUUUGUGGGGUGCUCGAGUGGCGAACGGGUGAGUAACACGUGAGUAACCUGCCCUGGCUUUGGGGAUACCUUCAGUAACCUGGGGCAACCUCCGGAAGGGGGCCCGGCUGGCGGGUGGGGGGUGGGAACUUUUCGGGGGUUGGGGAGGGCCUCGCGGCUUAUCGGAUUGUUGGUGGGGUAGUGGCUUACCAAGGCUUUGACGGGUAGCCGGCCUGAGGGGGUGACCGGCCACAUUGGGACUGAGAUACGGCCCAGACUCCUACGGGAGGCAGCAGUGGGGAAUAUUGCACAAUGGGCGGAAGCCUGAUGCAGCAACGCCGCGUGCGGGAUGACGGCCUUCGGGUUGUAAACCGCUUUCGCCUGUGACGAAGCGUGAGUGACGUUAAUGGGUAAAGAAGCACCGGCUAACUACUUG